GGAGAGAUGGCCGAGAGGCUGAAGGCGACGGUUUGCUAAACCGUUAUACGACUUAAAUCGUAUCGGGGGUUCGAAUCCCUCUCUCUCCGCCA
rnacentral:tRNA from 3 species